GAUGAACGCUGGCGGCGUGCUUAACACAUGCAAGUCGAACGAAGCAUUUAGGACAGAUUACUUCGGUUUGAAGUUCUUUAUGACUGAGAGGCGGACGGGUGAGUAACGCGUGGGUAACCUGCCUUGUACUGGGGGAUAGCAGCUGGAAACGGCUGGUAAUACCGCAUAAGCGCACAAUGUUGCAUGACAUGGUGUGAAAAACUCCGGUGGUAUAAGAUGGACCCGCGUCUGAUUAGCUAGUUGGUGAGAUAACAGCCCACCAAGGCGACGAUCAGUAGCCGACCUGAGAGGGUGACCGGCCACAUUGGGACUGAGACACGGCCCAGACUCCUACGGGAGGCAGCAGUGGGGAAUAUUGCACAAUGGAGGAAACUCUGAUGCAGCGACGCCGCGUGAGUGAAGAAGUAAUUCGUUAUGUAAAGCUCUAUCAGCAGGGAAGAUAGUGACGGUACCUGACGAAGAAGCUCCGGCUAAAUACGUG
rnacentral:rRNA from 1 species